AUUGAACGCUGGCGGCAUGCUUUACACAUGCAAGUCGAACGGUAACAGGCCGCAAGGUGCUGACGAGUGGCGAACGGGUGAGUAAUGCAUCGGAACGUGCCCAGUCGUGGGGGAUAACGCAGCGAAAGCUGCGCUAAUACCGCAUACGAUCUAUGGAUAAAAGCGGGGGACCGUAAGGCCUCGCGCGAUUGGAGCGGCCGAUGUCAGAUUAGGUAGUUGGUGGGGUAAAGGCUCACCAAGCCAACGAUCUGUAGCUGGUCUGAGAGGACGACCAGCCACACUGGGACUGAGACACGGCCCAGACUCCUACGGGAGGCAGCAGUGGGGAAUUUUGGACAAUGGGCGCAAGCCUGAUCCAGCAAUGCCGCGUGCAGGAAGAAGGCCUUCGGGUUGUAAACUGCUUUUGUACGGAACGAAACGGUCUGGGUUAAUACCCUGGGCUAAUGACGGUACCGUAAGAAUAAGCACCGGCUAACUACGUGCCAGCAGCCGCAGUAAGAC
rnacentral:rRNA from 1 species